GGAAGCUGAUUGGCGGGA
rnacentral:siRNA from 1 species